CAUCUAUACUAAACCAAUUAUUUAUUGCAAAUUUAUUUUACGCGAGUUUUAAAACCACAGUAAGGUCCUAAACAAACGAGUCAGCCCGGUUAACCGGGCCAGCUCGGCACCAUGUAAUCAGCACCUUAGUAGACAUUGAAUCACUGUAUAUUGGUCAAUAUCUGGACCUGUAAUUGACAAUUGGACAUAAGCCUUAGGGCCUACUAUUUAAGACAUUCAUAUCUAGGUUACAGUAUAUUGUCUAUAUAGUAAUACAGUAUUAAGAUAUUUACUGGUAUUAAAGCAUGCAGUUUCUUCAGUGUUUAUAAUAACUUUAGAAUAUCUGCUGGUAAUAGCAAAGUCAACCGUUCGGCCAUAUUCACCAGCAUCAAAAGCACGACUUUAUCUUCUCUGCAUGGAUGAAAAUAUUCUUUCCUUUUCCCUACCUCUCGAAUGAUCGACAAUGCCUUCUCAUAUGCGUGAUAAGUCAUGUAACAUGGGUUUUGAUUUUCCCUUAAUUGGCAGUACUAGCUGUAGAAUUUGUCGAGUGCUUAAUACGUCUGCGUCGAUAUUCGCACAGGAAUUGCUUUAAUCCUUCAAUCUAAACGACAAAUAUAAGUCAAAUAUUAAGUCUAAGGCAUCUCACUACAUAUUGUUUAAUUGGACACAGUAUAAAGGACUUACUUCUUCAACUGAACGCGAUAUUUCUUCAGUUAAUUCAUCCGCGUUGAUUUGCAGCAGCUAAAUAGUUUCAUGAAAAUCGCCUCCGUCGUUGUAUCUGCGUCUCCAGCACCCAGAAUUGUGUGAAUUUUGCUUUCUGAAUCGUAUGCCGAACUUGUCGAAGCCAUAACAAGAACAACAAUGCCUCAUUUUAAAAUUUAUAAGCACAAUAUCAUAUUUCUGUAAUACUACGCUAUAGUAAUUUCUGAAUUUGAUGCACCCGAAAUGUCACGUGACGUACCUUUCCAACAUCUGAAAUUAAUUAGCUCGAAAGCCUUUGAAGUUUGCCGGCCUUCCAAACCCUGUCCUCUAUUAACUAUGGUAUAUAC